CCUCGUCUAUCUUGAAACACCAGCGCCGCCAAGAUGCCGGCUUAUCACUCUUCUCUCAUGGACCCUGACACCAAACUCAUUGGAAACAUGGCACUGUUGCCUAUCAGAAGUCAGUUCAAAGGACCUGCCCCUAGAGAGACAAAAGAUACAGAUAUUGUGGAUGAAGCCAUCUAUUAUUUUAAGGCCAAUGUCUUCUUCAAAAUCUAUGAGAUUAAGAAUGAAGCUGAUAGAACCUUGAUAUAUAUAACUCUCUACAUUUCUGAGUGUCUAAAGAAACUCCAGAAGUGCAAUUCCAAAAGCCAAGGUGAAAAAGAAAUGUAUACGCUGGGAAUCACUAAUUUUCCCAUUCCUGGAGAGCCUGGUUUUCCACUUAAUGCAAUUUAUGCCAAACCUGCAAACAAACAGGAAGAUGAUGUGAUGAGGGCCUACUUACAGCAGCUGAGACAAGAGACUGGACUGAGACUUUUUGAGAAAGUUUUUGACCCUCAGAAUGAUAAACCUAGCAAGUGGUGGACUUGCUUUGUGAAGAGGCAGUUCAUGAACAAGAGUCUUUCAGGACCUGGACAGUGAAAGGAGCCUGAGCAGAUACUUUCCACAGCCGUGGGCAGCAUUUUACAGCAAGAUGUACACAGUUAUUUGCCUUUAUUUGAUAAAGUUUUAUACAGAAGAGAGAAGAGAGCAUGUCUUCACUUGAAGAGCUCUUUAUCAAGAAUUUGGGUGAGGGAGGGAAAAUUGGGUGAUUUGAAAUUUUCUGCAGUAUUAAGCUGGUGCUUAAUAAAAAUAAGUAAGAAUAAAGAAAUUUCUAA